UGUCCUCUGCCAGGCUCGAACUGGCGACCUCAGGAUGGCCACGACUUGAAACCGCAUCAUAACAUAUUGAUUAUGAGACCUACGCGCUAGCCAGCUGCGCCAAGAAGAC
rnacentral:tRNA from 1 species